AUUGAACGCUGGCGGCAGGCUUAACACAUGCAAGUCGAGCGGGGGAAGGUAGCUUGCUACUGGACCUAGCGGCGGACGGGUGAGUAAUGCUUAGGAAUCUGCCUAUUAGUGGGGGACAACAUCUCGAAAGGGAUGCUAAUACCGCAUACGUCCUACGGGAGAAAGCAGGGGAUCUUCGGACCUUGCGCUAAUAGAUGAGCCUAAGUCGGAUUGGCUAGUUGGUGGGGUAAAGGCCUACCAAGGCGACGAUCUGUAGCGGGUCUGAGAGGAUGAUCCGCCACACUGGGACUGAGACACGGCCCAGACUCCUACGGGAGGCAGCAGUGGGGAAGAUUGGACAAUGGGGGGAACCCUGAUCCAGCCAUGCCGCGUGUGUGAAGAAGGCCUUAUGGUUGUAAAGCACUUUAAGCGAGGAGGAGGCUACUUUAGUUAAUACCUAGAGAUAGUGGACGUUACUCGCAGAAUAAGCACCGGCUAACUCUGUGCCAGCCGCCGCCGUAA
rnacentral:rRNA from 1 species